rnacentral:tRNA from 1 species
CGGAGCAAGUGGGCCUCGAUCCCACAAAAAUUAGUUAACAGCUAACUACCCUAACCAGCGGGCUUCUACUCG